GGGUUGUGAGGUUAAGCGACUAAGCGUACACGGUGGAUGCCCUGGCAGUCAGAGGCGAUGAAGGACGUGCUAAUCUGCGAAAAGCGUCGGUAAGGUGAUAUGAACCGUUAUAACCGGCGAUGUCCGAAUGGGGAAACCCAGUGCAAUUCGUUGCACUAUCGUUAACUGAAUACAUAGGUUAACGAGGCGAACCGGGGGAACUGAAACAUCUAAGUACCCCGAGGAAAAGAAAUCAACCGAGAUUCCCCCAGUAGCGGCGAGCGAACGGGGAGCAGCCCAGAGUCUGAAUCAGCUUGUGUGUUAGUGGAACGGUCUGGAAAGUCCGACGGUACAGGGUGAUAGUCCCGUACACCAAAAUGCACAGGCUGUGAACUCGAAGAGUAGGGCGGGACACGUGGUAUCCUGUCUGAAUAUGGGGGGACCAUCCUCCAAGGCUAAAUACUCCUGACUGACCGAUAGUGAACCAGUACCGUGAGGGAAAGGCGAAAAGAACCCCGGCGAGGGGAGUGAAAAAGAACCUGAAACCGUGUACGUACAAGCAGUGGGAGCACCUUCGGGUGUGACUGCGUACCUUUUGUAUAAUGGGUCAGCGACUUAUAUUCUGUAGCAAGGUUAACCGUAUAGGGGAGCCGCAGGGAAACCGAGUCUUAACUGGGCGUUAAGUUGCAGGGUAUAGACCCGAAACCCGGUGAUCUAGCCAUGGGCAGGUUGAAGGUUGGGUAACACUAACUGGAGGACCGAACCGACUAAUGUUGAAAAAUUAGCGGAUGACUUGUGGCUGGGGGUGAAAGGCCAAUCAAACCGGGAGAUAGCUGGUUCUCCCCGAAAGCUAUUUAGGUAGCGCCUCGUGAACUCAUCUUCGGGGGUAGAGCACUGUUUCGGCUAGGGGGUCAUCCCGACUUACCAACCCGAUGCAAACUACGAAUACCGAAGAAUGUUAUCACGGGAGACACACGGCGGGUGCUAACGUCCGUCGUGAAGAGGGAAACAACCCAGACCGCCAGCUAAGGUCCCAAAGUCAUGGUUAAGUGGGAAACGAUGUGGGAAGGCACAGACAGCCAGGAUGUUGGCUUAGAAGCAGCCAUCAUUUAAAGAAAGCGUAAUAGCUCACUGGUCGAGUCGGCCUGCGCGGAAGAUGUAACGGGGCUAAACCAUGCACCGAAGCUGCGGCAGCGACACUAUGUGUUGUUGGGUAGGGGAGCGUUCUGUAAGCCUGCGAAGGUGUGCUGUGAGGCAUGCUGGAGGUAUCAGAAGUGCGAAUGCUGACAUAAGUAACGAUAAAGCGGGUGAAAAGCCCGCUCGCCGGAAGACCAAGGGUUCCUGUCCAACGUUAAUCGGGGCAGGGUGAGUCGACCCCUAAGGCGAGGCCGAAAGGCGUAGUCGAUGGGAAACAGGUUAAUAUUCCUGUACUUGGUGUUACUGCGAAGGGGGGACGGAGAAGGCUAUGUUAGCCGGGCGACGGUUGUCCCGGUUUAAGCAUGUAGGCUGGUUGUCCAGGCAAAUCCGGAUAAUCAAGGCUGAGGUGUGAUGACGAGGCACUACGGUGCUGAAGUAACAAAUGCCCUGCUUCCAGGAAAAGCCUCUAAGCAUCAGGUAACAUCAAAUCGUACCCCAAACCGACACAGGUGGUCAGGUAGAGAAUACCAAGGCGCUUGAGAGAACUCGGGUGAAGGAACUAGGCAAAAUGGUGCCGUAACUUCGGGAGAAGGCACGCUGGUGUGUAGGUGAAGCCCCUGCGGGUGGAGCUGAGACCAGUCGAAGAUACCAGCUGGCUGCAACUGUUUAUUAAAAACACAGCACUGUGCAAACACGAAAGUGGACGUAUACGGUGUGACGCCUGCCCGGUGCCGGAAGGUUAAUUGAUGGGGUUAUCCGUAAGGAGAAGCUCUUGAUCGAAGCCCCGGUAAACGGCGGCCGUAACUAUAACGGUCCUAAGGUAGCGAAAUUCCUUGUCGGGUAAGUUCCGACCUGCACGAAUGGCGUAAUGAUGGCCAGGCUGUCUCCACCCGAGACUCAGUGAAAUUGAACUCGCUGUGAAGAUGCAGUGUACCCGCGGCAAGACGGAAAGACCCCGUGAACCUUUACUAUAGCUUGACACUGAACAUUGAGCCUUGAUGUGUAGGAUAGGUGGGAGGCUUUGAAGCGUGGACGCCAGUCUGCGUGGAGCCAACCUUGAAAUACCACCCUUUAAUGUUUGAUGUUCUAACGUUGGCCCCUUACCGGGGUUGCGGACAGUGUCUGGUGGGUAGUUUGACUGGGGCGGUCUCCUCCCAAAGCGUAACGGAGGAGCACGAAGGUUAGCUAAUCCUGGUCGGACAUCAGGAGGUUAGUGCAAUGGCAUAAGCUAGCUUGACUGCGAGCGUGACGGCGCGAGCAGGUGCGAAAGCAGGUCAUAGUGAUCCGGUGGUUCUGAAUGGAAGGGCCAUCGCUCAACGGAUAAAAGGUACUCCGGGGAUAACAGGCUGAUACCGCCCAAGAGUUCAUAUCGACGGCGGUGUUUGGCACCUCGAUGUCGGCUCAUCACAUCCUGGGGCUGAAGUAGGUCCCAAGGGUAUGGCUGUUCGCCAUUUAAAGUGGUACGCGAGCUGGGUUUAGAACGUCGUGAGACAGUUCGGUCCCUAUCUGCCGUGGGCGCUGGAGAAUUGAGGGGGGCUGCUCCUAGUACGAGAGGACCGGAGUGGACGCAUCACUGGUGUUCGGGUUGUCAUGCCAAUGGCACUGCCCGGUAGCUAAAUGCGGAAGAGAUAAGUGCUGAAAGCAUCUAAGCACGAAACUUACCCCGAGAUGAGUUCUCCCUGAGACUUUAAGUCUCCUGAAGGAACGUUGAAGACGACGACGUUGAUAGGCCGGGUGUGUAAGCGCAGCGAUGCGUUGAGCUAACCGGUACUAAUGAACCGUGAGGCUUAACCUUACAACGCCGAAG
rnacentral:rRNA from 1 species